GGUCCUAUAGCUCAGCGGGAGAGCACUCGCCUCACACGCGAGGGGUCGCUGGUUCGAACCCAGCUAGGACCA
rnacentral:tRNA from 1 species